rnacentral:rRNA from 1 species
AGCUCCAAUAGCGUAUAUUAAAUUUGUUGCAGUUAAAAAGCUCGUAGUUGAAUUUCAGGCGAGUCUACUGGUGGUCUGCCUAAUGGGUAUGUACUGCCAGUAGUCGCCUUAUAUCUCUGAUAAUGCUUCCUUUGGUUGCAUGCAUCUAGAUACAUACCGUGAAUAAAUCAGAGUGUUUAAAGCAGGCUUGAUAGCUUGAAUGCAUUAGCAUGGAAUAAUGAAAUAGGACAUUUGGUUCUAUUUUGUUGGUUUGAGAACCAACGUAAUGAUUAAUAGGGACAGUUGGGGGCAUUAGUAUUUCGUGGCUAGAGGUGAAAUUCUUGGACCCACGAAAGACUAACUUCUGCGAAAGCAUUUGCCAAAGAUGUUUUCA